UACGAAGGGUGCAAGCGUUAAUCGGAAUUACUGGGCGUAAAGCGUGCGUAGGCGGUUGGCUAAGUCAGAUGUGAAAGCCCUGGGCUCAACCUGGGAAUGGCAUUUGAAACUGGCUGGCUAGAGUGUGAUAGAGGAUGGCGGAAUUCCCGGCGUAGCGGUGAAAUGCGUAGAGAUCGGGAGGAACAUCCGUGGCGAAGGCGGCCAUCUGGAUCAACACUGACGCUGAGGCACGAAAGCGUGGGGAGCAAACAGG
rnacentral:rRNA from 1 species